rnacentral:rRNA from 2 species
UGCAGUCGACGAACUCUGGUAUUGAUUGGUGCUUGCAUCAUGAUUUACAUUUGAGUGAGUGGCGAACUGGUGAGUAACACGUGGGAAACCUGCCCAGAAGCGGGGGAUAACACCUGGAAACAGAUGCUAAUACCGCAUAACAACUUGGACCGCAUGGUCCGAGCUUGAAAGAUGGCUUCGGCUAUCACUUUUGGAUGGUCCCGCGGCGUAUUAGCUAGAUGGUGGGGUAACGGCUCACCAUGGCAAUGAUACGUAGCCGACCUGAGAGGGUAAUCGGCCACAUUGGGACUGAGACACGGCCCAAACUCCUACGGGAGGCAGCAGUAGGGAAUCUUCCACAAUGGACGAAAGUCUGAUGGAGCAACGCCGCGUGAGUGAAGAAGGGUUUCGGCUCGUAAAACUCUGUUGUUAAAGAAGAACAUAUCUGAGAGUAACUGUUCAGGUAUUGACGGUAUUUAACCAGAAAGCCACGGCUAACUACGUGCCAGCAGCCGCGGUAAUACGUAGGUGGCAAGCGUUGUCCGGAUUUAUUGGGCGUAAAGCGAGCGCAGGCGGUUUUUUAAGUCUGAUGUGAAAGCCUUCGGCUCAACCGAAGAAGUGCAUCGGAAACUGGGAAACUUGAGUGCAGAAGAGGACAGUGGAACUCCAUGUGUAGCGGUGAAAUGCGUAGAUAUAUGGAAGAACACCAGUGGCGAAGGCGGCUGUCUGGUCUGUAACUGACGCUGAGGCUCGAAAGUAUGGGUAGCAAACAGGAUUAGAUACCCUGGUAGUCCAUACCGUAAACGAUGAAUGCUAAGUGUUGGAGGGUUUCCGCCCUUCAGUGCUGCAGCUAACGCAUUAAGCAUUCCGCCUGGGGAGUACGGCCGCAAGGCUGAAACUCAAAGGAAUUGACGGGGGCCCGCACAAGCGGUGGAGCAUGUGGUUUAAUUCGAAGCUACGCGAAGAACCUUACCAGGUCUUGACAUACUAUGCAAAUCUAAGAGAUUAGACGUUCCCUUCGGGGACAUGGAUACAGGUGGUGCAUGGUUGUCGUCAGCUCGUGUCGUGAGAUGUUGGGUUAAGUCCCGCAACGAGCGCAACCCUUAUUAUCAGUUGCCAGCAUUAAGUUGGGCACUCUGGUGAGACUGCCGGUGACAAACCGGAGGAAGGUGGGGAUGACGUCAAAUCAUCAUGCCCCUUAUGACCUGGGCUACACACGUGCUACAAUGGAUGGUACAACGAGUUGCGAACUCGCGAGAGUAAGCUAAUCUCUUAAAGCCAUUCUCAGUUCGGAUUGUAGGCUGCAACUCGCCUACAUGAAGUCGGAAUCGCUAGUAAUCGCGGAUCAGCAUGCCGCGGUGAAUACGUUCCCGGGCCUUGUACACACCGCCCGUCACACCAUGAGAGUUUGUAACACCCAAAGUCG